AGGUGAUGCAUGGCUGUCGUCAGUUCGUGAUUUGAAUUGUUCCCUUAAGUGGGGUAACGAACGCAACCCUUGUCGUGUGUUAUACGUGUCACACGAGACUACCCAGUUUUUCUGGAGGAAGCGAGGAUGACGCCAAGUCAGCAUGUCCUUUGAUGUCCUGGGCUACACACAUGAUACAAUGGCCACUACAACGGGUCGCGACGGGGUAACCCUGAGCUAAUCCUUAUAAAAGUGGCCCCAGUUCGGAUUGAGGUCUGCAACUCGACCUCAUGAAGUUGGAAUCGCUAGUAAUCGCAGGUCAGCUACGCUGCGGUGAAUACGUUCUCGAGCCUUGUACUCACCGCCCGUCAAG
rnacentral:rRNA from 1 species